GACGAACGCUGGCGGCGUGCUUAACACAUGCAAGUCGAACGGUGAAGCGCCUUCCUUUUUGGUGGGUGUGGGUGAGUGGCGAACGGGUGAGUAACACGUGAGUAACCUGCCCCCUUCUUCCGGCUAACCGCAUGAAAGUGUGUCUAAUACGGGAUAUUCUGCGUCAGUCUCAUGAUGGGUCUGGUAAAGUUAUUGUUUCGGUGGGGGAUGGGCUCGCGGCCUAUCAGUUGGUUGGCGGGGUGAAGGCUUACCAAGGCUGUGACGGGUAGCCGGCCUGGGCGGGUGGACGGUCUGGCUGGGGAUGAGGCACAGCCAAGACGCGAAUGGGACGCAGCAGUGAGGAAUACUGGACGAUGGAGGGAAGCCUGAUGCAGCGACGGCGCGUGAGUGAUGGAGCCAUGCGGGGUGUGAGACUCAUGCGCUAGUGAAGCAGAGCUGCCUCGUUUGUGAGGAUGUUGACAGUAGCUGGAGAAUAAGCGCCGGCUAACUACGUG
rnacentral:rRNA from 1 species